UACAGAGGUCCCAAGCGUUGUUCGGAUUCAUUGGGCGUAAAGGGUGCGUAGGCGGCGCGGUAAGUCGGGUGUGAAAUCUCGGGGCUUAACCUGGGAAUGGCAUUUGGGACUGCAAGGCUUGAGUGCGGCAGAUGAGACUGGAAUUCCUGGUGUAGCAGUGAAAUGCGUAGAUAUUCGCAAGAACACCAGUGGCGAAGGCGGCUCACUGGCCCGGUACUGACGCUGAGGUGCGAAAGCGUGGGGAGCAAACAGG
rnacentral:rRNA from 1 species